rnacentral:rRNA from 1 species
UUAAGCGACUAAGCGUACACGGUGGAUGCCCUGGCAGUCAGAGGCGAUGAAGGACGUGCUAAUCUGCGAUAAGCGCCGGUAAGGUGAUAUGAACCGUUAUAACCGGCGAUUUCCGAAUGGGGAAACCCAGUGUGACUCGUCACACUAUCAUUAACUGAAUCCAUAGGUUAAUGAGGCGAACCGGGGGAACUGAAACAUCUAAGUACCCCGAGGAAAAGAAAUCAACCGAGAUUCCCCCAGUAGCGGCGAGCGAACGGGGAGGAGCCCAGAGCCUGAAUCAGCAUGUGUGUUAGUGGAAGCGUCUGGAAAGGCGCGCGAUACAGGGUGACAGCCCCGUACACAAAAGCGCAUGUGCUGUGAGCUCGAUGAGUAGGGCGGGACACGUGGUAUCCUGUCUGAAUAUGGGGGGACCAUCCUCCAAGGCUAAAUACUCCUGACUGACCGAUAGUGAACCAGUACCGUGAGGGAAAGGCGAAAAGAACCCCGGCGAGGGGAGUGAAAAAGAACCUGAAACCGUGUACGUACAAGCAGUGGGAGCACCCUUUUGGGUGUGACUGCGUACCUUUUGUAUAAUGGGUCAGCGACUUAUAUUCUGUAGCAAGGUUAACCGCAUAGGGGAGCCGGAGGGAAACCGAGUCUUAAUUGGGCGUUAAGUUGCAGGGUAUAGACCCGAAACCCGGUGAUCUAGCCAUGGGCAGGUUGAAGGUUGGGUAACACUAACUGGAGGACCGAACCGACUAAUGUUGAAAAAUUAGCGGAUGACCUGUGGCUGGGGGUGAAAGGCCAAUCAAACCGGGAGAUAGCUGGUUCUCCCCGAAAGCUAUUUAGGUAGCGCCUCGUGAAUUCAUCUCCGGGGGUAGAGCACUGUUUCGGCUAGGGGGCCAUCCCGGCUUACCAACCCGAUGCAAACUGCGAAUACCGGAGAAUGUUAUCACGGGAGACACACGGCGGGUGCUAACGUCCGUCGUGAAGAGGGAAACAACCCAGACCGCCAGCUAAGGUCCCAAAGUCAUGGUUAAGUGGGAAACGAUGUGGGAAGGCCCAGACAGCCAGGAUGUUGGCUUAGAAGCAGCCAUCAUUUAAAGAAAGCGUAAUAGCUCACUGGUCGAGUCGGCCUGCGCGGAAGAUGUAACGGGGCUAAACCAUGCACCGAAGCUGCGGCAGCGACGCUUAUGCGUUGUUGGGUAGGGGAGCGUUCUGUAAGCCUGCGAAGGUGGCCUGUGAGGGUUGCUGGAGGUAUCAGAAGUGCGAAUGCUGACAUAAGUAACGAUAAAGCGGGUGAAAAGCCCGCUCGCCGGAAGACCAAGGGUUCCUGUCCAACGUUAAUCGGGGCAGGGUGAGUCGACCCCUAAGGCGAGGCCGAAAGGCGUAGUCGAUGGGAAACGGGUUAAUAUUCCCGUACUUGGUGUUACUGCGAAGGGGGGACGGAGAAGGCUAUGUUGGCCGGGCGACGGUUGUCCCGGUUUAAGCGUGUAGGUGUGUGUUCCAGGUAAAUCCGGUUCACUUUAACACUGAGGCGUGACGACGAGGCACUACGGUGCUGAAGCAACAAAUGCCCUGCUUCCAGGAAAAGCCUCUAAGCAUCAGGUAACAUCAAAUCGUACCCCAAACCGACACAGGUGGUCAGGUAGAGAAUACCAAGGCGCUUGAGAGAACUCGGGUGAAGGAACUAGGCAAAAUGGUGCCGUAACUUCGGGAGAAGGCACGCUGACACGUAGGUGAAGUGAUUUACUCACGGAGCUGAAGUCAGUCGAAGAUACCAGCUGGCUGCAACUGUUUAUUAAAAACACAGCACUGUGCAAACACGAAAGUGGACGUAUACGGUGUGACGCCUGCCCGGUGCCGGAAGGUUAAUUGAUGGGGUCAGCGCAAGCGAAGCUCCUGAUCGAAGCCCCGGUAAACGGCGGCCGUAACUAUAACGGUCCUAAGGUAGCGAAAUUCCUUGUCGGGUAAGUUCCGACCUGCACGAAUGGCGUAAUGAUGGCCAGGCUGUCUCCACCCGAGACUCAGUGAAAUUGAACUCGCUGUGAAGAUGCAGUGUACCCGCGGCAAGACGGAAAGACCCCGUGAACCUUUACUAUAGCUUGACACUGAACAUUGAGCCUUGAUGUGUAGGAUAGGUGGGAGGCUUUGAAGUGUGGACGCCAGUCUGCAUGGAGCCGACCUUGAAAUACCACCCUUUAAUGUUUGAUGUUCUAACGUGGAUCCGUAAUCCGGGUUGCGGACAGUGUCUGGUGGGUAGUUUGACUGGGGCGGUCUCCUCCUAAAGAGUAACGGAGGAGCACGAAGGUUGGCUAAUCCUGGUCGGACAUCAGGAGGUUAGUGCAAUGGCAUAAGCCAGCUUGACUGCGAGCGUGACGGCGCGAGCAGGUGCGAAAGCAGGUCAUAGUGAUCCGGUGGUUCUGAAUGGAAGGGCCAUCGCUCAACGGAUAAAAGGUACUCCGGGGAUAACAGGCUGAUACCGCCCAAGAGUUCAUAUCGACGGCGGUGUUUGGCACCUCGAUGUCGGCUCAUCACAUCCUGGGGCUGAAGUAGGUCCCAAGGGUAUGGCUGUUCGCCAUUUAAAGUGGUACGCGAGCUGGGUUUAGAACGUCGUGAGACAGUUCGGUCCCUAUCUGCCGUGGGCGCUGGAGAACUGAGGGGGGCUGCUCCUAGUACGAGAGGACCGGAGUGGACGCAUCACUGGUGUUCGGGUUGUCAUGCCAAUGGCACUGCCCGGUAGCUAAAUGCGGAAGAGAUAAGUGCUGAAAGCAUCUAAGCACGAAACUUGCCCCGAGAUGAGUUCUCCCUGAGACUUAAAGUCUCCUGAAGGAACGUUGAAGACGACGACGUUGAUAGGCCGGGUGUGUAAGCGCAGCGAUGCGUUGAGCUAACCGGUACUAAUGAACCGUGAGGCUUAACCUU